rnacentral:lncRNA from 1 species
AUGGAUAAAAUCCUACAGAACGAGAAGCUGGAAGUUUACCAGAAGUAUCCCAUUUUCCAGAUGAGCAAAGAAUAUGGAAGUCACCUCGUGGUUCUCCUGGCUGGAGAGUCCCUUCUUAUGCAAGAGUACUGGUUGUACUUCACCUUGCCCUGCCUCAGGCUCCUUUUUGUGUUUUGCUGACCCUAGGUGUGUAUGUGAACAUAUUCAUUCAGCCCCACCAUGCCCAUACAGACCUCCGGAGUUAUUGUAAGGAACACUCAUCUUCACCUUCUCAGUCAAAACACCUUAGGGGUCUGUGACUUGCCAGCUGUCCUGGAUAAGUGUAAAACAGACAAUUUUGGAAGAAAUGAAGAAAUAUAACACCUGAGGGUAAUACAUCUUGCAACAGUCCUUCAGAAGUAAUGACCUGUAAAACAAACAAACUUCUGCCGAAAAGAUCAUUCAGUCAAAAUUCUGAUUGACCCUAAACAUUCUCUGGACAAGGGGUGUCAUACAAAGAGAGGACUGAAAUACAGCAAGGUGGAAGGUUUGGGCCAAUUGGACGGGAGUGUUUGCUUCUGCUUCUCUUGUCCAGAAUUUGCCUGGGUUUGCUUUUACUGGGAUCCUGAGUAAUAGAUGCUUUUAUUUCUUCAUACAGUGAAUAAUGGGAGCAAAUCGAACAAGGACUUUGAAUGUAGAACACAAAUUAUUGACUUAAAAAAAAAAAAAUCUUAACUAUUUCCAGUGACAGGACUAUUCCUAAUGCAUCAGCAGCACUUACACUUUAACCAAUGUUUACAAUCACUUCUAAUUCUAUAUUUCACUCUUUCAAGCUAAACGUGAGUCGCUUUGAUUUUCAGGGUGAUUUCAAAGUCUGUUAAAUUUCAUGAAGCAUCAAAAUACAUUGACAACACAUCCAAUUAUUUGGUGGCUCCCAGAGCACACUGCCAGGUAUUCAGUAAUACUGCUCACUUCACAGAAAAAUACCUUAGAAUCACUUUAAGGAUUUUUUUUCUUAACAUAUUGGUACCACUUUAAGUAUUUCUCUGAAAGUAAACUCCUGCCCCCUAUUGCCCUUAAUAGCACUAAUCGUAUUGGCACACACCUCAGAAGGAAUAAAAAUAUUAUAGCGAGUCCA